AGACAGACAGUUGGAGGGGGGUGUAUGGGGACACACAGCCAGAGGGGGGUUGAUGAGGACAGACAGACAGUCGGAGGGGGGUGCAUGGGGACACACAGCCGGAGGGGGGUUGACAAGGACAGACAGACAGUCGGGGGGGUGUAUGGGGACACACAGCCGGAGGGGGGUUGAUGAGGACAGACAGACAGUUGGGGGGUGUGUAUGGGGACACACAGCCGGAGGGGGGUUGAUGAGGACAGACAGACAGUCGGGGGGGGGUUGACGAGGACAGACAGACAGUCGGAGGGGGGUGUAUGGGGACACACAGCCGGAGGGGGGUUGAUGAGGACAGACAGACAGUCGGGGGGGUGUAUGGGGGGACACAGCUGGAGGGGGGUUGAUGAGGACAGACAGACAGUCGGGGGGGUGUAUGGGGACACACAGCCGGAGGGGGGUUGAUGAGGACAGACAGACAGUCGGGGGGUGUAUGGGGGGACACAGCUGGAGGGGGGUUGAUGAGGACAG